GAACACAGGGAAAGGACGAUACUUUCCAGCUGGUAGCGAGAGCAGUCAACACGUGAGAUCAGCACAAAACAUACUGCAGACAAGGUCUUGGACAAACCAGAGCAACAGAGCAUGAAAGAUGUCCAGAAGGUUUCCAUCAGCAUGACAGUGAGUGCCCCUUUGCUGAGUCAAUCGGUACCUUGUAAGUCCAGGGACCUAGAGGUGGCUGAGGGGAGAAAGUGGACACUCCAAAGAUCACGCUGAAGCUUCUAUCACCCACGAGUCUCCUGAUGCCUGUGGUGUGGGUUUACGGCACUGGGAAUCCUAGUGCAAAGGAACUUCUGGGGCAAGGAACCUGCUGUUAUGAAGGGACCCCUAAACUGACUCACUUACUCAACCCAUCCUGCUGCCUGGGGGACUCCAGACAGACACAAGAAGGAAAGUUCUAAAACUUUGUCACUUGACAAACUGAAGCUAUUAAUCCAUCAAAUUUAGGGUUGAAAAUACACAAACCUCUGCUGUUUGUAGGACUUAGGGUAACAUCAGAUGACAUGAUCUGAAUUCCAGGGAAGAGCCACUUCCACUGUGAGUCACCCAGUUCCCUUCAUUCCAAGAAAUGCCCCCAUCAUCCUGCCAACAACGAUUUCUUGUGGUCAUGAGGAGGUGAUAUUAUUAUUUUCCUCACCAGAGCCUCCUAGAACAUGUAGCAGGCAUGAGGAUGCUUCCUUGCUGACAGACCAACCAGCAGAGGCAGUGAGAAGGACAAAGUUCAUCCCUUUCUAAACACUACCAUUGGCUAAAUUAUCACUGGGAUAACAUUUAAUACCUGUUUGUAAAAAUGAUGACCUUGAAAAUAUCUUGAUUUUAUAUUUAUAAAGACUGUCCUGCUUAUUUUAAACAAUUUUGAAACACAGAAAAUAAAAAACUUCAGGUUUCUAGUUAUUCCACUCCCCAAUAAACAUUGUUCGAGAGUUUGGUUUAUAUCCUUCAAGAAAUUUUUUUAUCUAUAUAGGCAUACAUAUACACAUCUAAAAGUGUAACUCCUAGAAUCCCAGGUUCCUCAGGAUAUUGGGGUCACCUUUUAUAUUAGUCUGUAAAUAAAAUACCUUGAGUCCCAUCCUAAGUGGUUUUGAGAAUCUAGCAUUUUCUCCAGUUGUUUCAACAAUUCUAAGGAGGAUGCUAACAUAGUGGUUGUUUAUUACCUAUUGCUUUGGACUCUGUCCCAAGUUUAUUUGCUUAUUGGUUUGUCUUGCCUCCUCCUUAUCCUGCCGACGUGCUAGUUUUUCUAACAUCUAGAUAACACCUCUUCUUUUUUUUUUUUUCUAGUGACUUCUUAGGUACUAUUAAGUGAAACUGAAAUUUACUGAAGGUUUGGGAUUUUGAGAGAAGAUGAAAGAAUUGACUCUUGCAGGUUUCCCUCUUUCUGGAGAGUGCAGCAGCCAGAUGCCAUCUUGGAAGGAGAGAGAUGCCCUGUCCCAACACCAAGCCUGCUAGCAGCUUGAUCUUGGACUUUAUAAUAUCCAGAACUAUUAGAACCAUUCAAAAUAAAUUUCUGUUUGUUAUAAAUUA